CCUACGGGAGGCAGCAGUGGGGAAUAUUGCGCAAUGGGCGAAAGCCUGACGCAGCGACGCCGCGUGAGGGAUGAAGGUCUUCGGAUCGUAAACCUCUGUCAGCAGGGAAGAACGGUCACUGUGCUAAUCAGCAGUGAAUUGACGGUACCUGCAAAGGAAGCACCGGCUAACUCCGUGCCAGCAGCCGCGGUAAUACGGAGGGUGCGAGCGUUAAUCGGAAUUACUGGGCGUAAAGCGCUCGUAGGCGGUAUGUCAAGUCAAGGGUGAAAUCCCCGCGCUCAACGUGGGAACUGCCUUUGAAACUGGCAGACUGGAGUGUGUGAGAGGGUAGUAGAAUUCCAGGUGUAGGAGUGAAAUCCGUAGAUAUCUGGAGGAACAUCAGUGGCGAAGGCGACUAUCUGGCACAUAACUGACGCUGAGGAGCGAAAGCGUGGGGAGCAAACAGGAUUAGAUACCCUGGUAGUC
rnacentral:rRNA from 1 species